CCCUUGGUAGUCCAGUGUCUAAGACUCUACACUCUUAAUGCAGAGGACCCAGGUUCUAUCCCUGGUCAGGGAA
rnacentral:tRNA from 1 species